CCGGUAGUAGCGUACAUACCGCUCACGACAAAACCUUCUUUACUAGUGUGGAAGCAGGAAGUGUCGAAGGAAAGAGACGGUAGUCUACGUGGUUCGAGGUUGCUUCUAUCUGAAAACCUUCAGUUCUACGACAUCACACCAACUUAAUACGGAAAAUAGAGAUACCUAUAAGAAUUCGUGCUGUGAUGGUCUAGACAGACUUUGUUCCCGUACCCACUAGCAAAAGACUUCUGGGUUUUGAAAGGUGUGAAGAAAUCGAGCGUUCAGAAGUCGAAGCAAAAACUUGAGUCUGAACUAACUUAUUUGCUUUCCGUUGUUAAGGUUGAUUUUUUUCGCUUUAGGGCGAAUCCGGGAAUUUUAAUGGUUGUUAGUCGUAAAUAGGUUACCAGCGGUAGCGGUGGAGGAAGAGGCGGCGGCGGCGGCAGCGGCAGCGGGCGGCCUCGAGGGGCCGAGUGGAGGUCGAGCAGCGAGCGGCGGCGGAGGGCAAGACGUGGCGACGGAGGAGAAGGAGGCGCGGUGGACGACGACGCCGCCCGAAACCCACCCGGCUGCGGGAGGCUCAACGGUCGCUUAAGCCCCAGCCGCUACUCAGGCUGGAAAGCCCCAUGAAGGCCUUCCAGCUGUAGACGUUGGCUCCUUACCCACUAUUCCCCCUCAAACACCUCAAGUACCAACUCCUAGUUCACCACCCUAUGUAGGUGUUCCCAAAAUGGCUUGUAGACUCCCUGAAGGUACUACAAAAAUGGUAACAGAGCCCGUUGUUACCGUUCUUGUCACACCUGGUGCACUGAGAGGUGAGUAGCGAGUCCUGAGGUCUUCUAGCUUGUUAGCGGUAGCCUCUACAGUAUUUUCCGGAUCCCCUUGAGUAAAGACCAUAUGCUUUACUCGAGAUAGGUCAUUGGAGUAGAAUGCCGUACGGACACAUAAAGAGAGACCUUGCACGACGACGAGGGAUGAAACCAUAUUUCCGAAUACCACAAGUAUACUUACCCAUGUAACUCUUCGCACCACUUUUUAGAGAAACCUAACCAUUCUCUUCACUACUCUUCGUUUGAAUGGGACCCUACGAUCUAGUAGAACAACGACCACCGGACCAUAGCAAGAAGAAAGGAGAUAAAAGACAAGUUCAGGAAAACAUGAAGUAAUCGCGAAGUUAACUUCUACCCAUUGUCAUCAACGACCUUAGAAUAUACGUAAUCUACUGUUAGAACUUUGAGGAUAAAGUCUUAUAGAUGAGAGAUUAUUAUACAUAUUUAUGAAGGGUAAAAAUAUUAACGGAUCUCUAAAGGUGGUCAAGACCUGUACAAUACUUCUAUUACGACUUACGAGGAGCAUUCUGGAUAUCGGACAUCUGACAGUGACCGGUUAACGAACUUAGUCUUACUAAUUUAAUAAACCUAAAAAGUCCAUGGAUAAGUUAGAUAGAAUCAGAAUUAUUUCAUUAAUAAUAACUUUCUGAUUUAGGUCAGAACGACCCCAAUAGAAAAAAGGAUAUUUUAGUAGACCACUUGUUACAGGAAUCGCGGGGGUAUAAUCAGUUCGGUCCACUGAAGUAUAAAUCUUUUAAUCCGACGAAUUUUACCACUGGAAACCUUAAUAUUAAAAAGUACCUUUACGUCCAAUACCUAAGCUGACCGUCCGAGUUUAGGUAGCCAAUGUCUUCACUACGUGUCAUGGGAAAACUAAAAGUGCACUUUGACAUAUCGACAAUUGAAUGCAACUGAUGUAUACCUUUAAAAGUCGGAAUGCCUUAGAGGACAUUUCUCUUAUAGUAGUUCCUUACACUUCUCCUUCGUCCUUAUGGUUCUAGGUACAGUUGGUUGCGAUGAAGACAACCUCGGCAAAGAAUGUACCUAUAGUUACCCAAAUCUAUGUUUUCCCUACAAGACAAGACGAUACUGGAAUCUGAAGGACAUCUAAAGCAAGGAUUAUUACUUCUACCUCUUCAACUAUCGAAGUCCGAUUAGGGACAUGGUGUACGACGUUUGUAAUAUGCCUCCUGUCUAAAAAAGUUCAGUUUGACGUUGGAACACUAGUAACUGAAGGAGAAGGCAGUACCCAUGUAUUUGGGUCUGACAUUACCCAUGGACUUCGACGACUGUUCAAACUCCUCACCACUAACAAGGAUCCCGAACGUCAAGAGACAAGUUUGUCUUCUUAGUCUAAUGGUCGUAAUUAGCGACUAAAAAACCUCGGACUUCGACUUGUGGCGCACGCGAGAGUAGGUCGUCUUACCUUCAAGCUCUAGUGAGAAAUACUUCGACAUAACUCGAAGCUGAUUAGUUCGGUAUACGAACUGUUACACGAAUAAACAAAAUCGUAGUUAACGAAUUACGAAAAGGUAUCCACGUAUAUAUUCAUCGAAAUUAUUUAUUUAUGACGAGGGAAGCCGAGUUUAAUUAACUGCUCUGAUAUGUUACCGG
rnacentral:rRNA from 1 species